UAGGGAAUCUUCGGCAAUGGGGGGAACCCUGACCGAGCAACGCCGCGUGAGUGAAGAAGGUUUUCGGAUCGUAAAGCUCUGUUGUUAAGGAAGAACGAGUGUGAGAAUGGAAAGUUCAUACUGUGACGGUACUUAACCAGAAAGGGACGGCUAACUACGUGCCAGCAGCCGCGGUAAUACGUAGGUCCCGAGCGUUGUCCGGAUUUAUUGGGCGUAAAGCGAGCGCAGGCGGUCAAUUAAGUCUGAUGUGAAAGCCCCCGGCUCAACCGGGGAGGGUCAUUGGAAACUGGUUGACUUGAGUGCAGAAGAGGAGAGUGGAAUUCCAUGUGUAGCGGUGAAAUGCGUAGAUAUAUGGAGGAACACCGGUGGCGAAGGCGACUCUCUGGUCUGUAACUGACGCUGAGGCUCGAAAGCGUGGGUAGCAAACAGG
rnacentral:rRNA from 1 species